rnacentral:tRNA from 1 species
UCCUCGGUAGUAUAGUGAUGAGUAUCCCCGCCUGUCACGCGGAAGAACUUGGUUCAAUUCCCCGCCGGGGAG